CAGCCCUUGACAUCCCGGUCGCGGAGACCAGAGACGGUCUCCUUCAGUUCGGCUGGACCGGAGACAGGUGCUGCAUGGCUGUCGUCAGCUCGUGUCGUGAGAUGUUGGGUUAAGUCCCGCAACGAGCGCAACCCUCGGCCUUAGUUGCCAUCAUUUAGUUGGGCACUCUAAGGCGACUGCCGGUGAUAAGCCGGAGGAAGGUGGGGAUGACGUCAAGUCCUCAUGGCCCUUACGGGCUGGGCUACACACGUGCUACAAUGGCGGUGACAGAGGGACGCAAAAGGGCGACCUUUCGCAAAUCUCCAAAAGCCGUCUCAGUUCGGAUUGGGGUCUGCAACUCGACCCCAUGAAGUUGGAAUCGCUAGUAAUCGCAGAUCAGCACGCUGCGGUGAAUACGUUCCCGGGCCUUGUACACACCGCCCGUCACACCAUGGGAGUUGGCUUUACCUGAAGACGGUGCGCUAACCGCAAGGAGGCAGCCGGCCACGGUAGGGUCAGCGACUGGGGUG
rnacentral:rRNA from 1 species